rnacentral:rRNA from 1 species
GAUGAACGCUGGCGGCGUGCCUAAUACAUGCAAGUCGAGCGAACAGACGAGGAGCUUGCUCCUUUGACGUUAGCGGCGGACGGGUGAGUAACACGUGGAUAACCUACCUAUAAGACUGGGAUAACUUCGGGAAACCGGAGCUAAUACCGGAUAACAUGUUGAACCGCAUGGUUCAACAGUGAAAGACGGUCUUGCUGUCACUUAUAGAUGGAUCCGCGCCGCAUUAGCUAGUUGGUAAGGUAACGGCUUACCAAGGCAACGAUGCGUAGCCGACCUGAGAGGGUGAUCGGCCACACUGGAACUGAGACACGGUCCAGACUCCUACGGGAGGCAGCAGUAGGGAAUCUUCCGCAAUGGGCGAAAGCCUGACGGAGCAACGCCGCGUGAGUGAAGAAGGUCUUCGGAUCGUAAAACUCUGUUAUUAGGGAAGAACAAAUGUGUAAGUAACUAUGCACGUCUUGACGGUACCUAAUCAGAAAGCCACGGCUAGCUACGUG